UACGUAGGGGGCUAGCGUUGUCCGGAAUCACUGGGCGUAAAGGGUUCGCAGGCGGAAAUGCAAGUCAGAUGUAAAAGGCAGUAGCUUAACUACUGUAAGCAUUUGAAACUGCAUAUCUUGAGAAGAGUAGAGGUAAGUGGAAUUUUUAGUGUAGCGGUGAAAUGCGUAGAUAUUAAAAAGAAUACCGGUGGCGAAGGCGACUUACUGGGCUCAUUCUGACGCUGAGGAACGAAAGCGUGGGUAGCAAACAGGAUUAGAUACUCUGGUAGUC
rnacentral:rRNA from 1 species